CCCCAAAAUUUGGGUCCAAUCCCCCCCAAAAUCCAAAAAAAAUCUCCCAGAGCCUCUGAGGUUCAUCCACGACCGUUUAUUGGGGGAGGGGCCAGGGGUCAAAGGUCAGGGGUCAAAGGUCAGGGGUCAAUGGUCAGUGAUGAUCAGUAAUCAGUAAUCAAGGGUCAAGGGUCAAGUGUCAGGGGUCAAUGGUCAGUGAAGGGUCAGGGGUAAAUGGUCAGUGGGUGGUCAAGGCUUAGGGGUCAAUGGUCAGGGGUCAGGGGUCAAUGAUGAUCAGGGGUCAGGGGUCAAAGGUCAGUAAUGGUCAGGGGGUCAAUGGUCAGUGGGUGAUCAGGGUCAGGGGUCAGAGGUCAGGUAGGUCAGGGGGGUCAGAGGUCAGCAGGCUCUGUCUCAGUAGGCGUGGUCGGUCAGUGAUGAUCAGGGGUCAGGGGUCAGGGGUCACUCAGUAGGCGUGGUCGGUCAGUGAGGUCAGAGGUCAGGGGUCACUCAGUAGGCGUGGUCGGUCAGUGAGGUCAGGGGUCAGGGGUCAGAGGUCACUCAGUAGGCGUGGUUGGACACGAACAGGGACUCGCUGGCGGCCGCCCCCGC